rnacentral:lncRNA from 12 species
UUUGGAACUCUGUUGGCCUGAUCUUUGUCCACAAAUCUGGGGCUGCUUUUGACUAUUCUGUGAGAGAGAAACAUCCACCAUGGAAAAAGAACCUUAAAUCCCAUGAGUAUCCAAGGGAUGUGAUUAUACCUGGAUAAAACCAUAUUUACAUGAUGUCUUGCAUAAAUACACGUACACUUUAAAUGUCUCUCUGCCAAAUCAUUAAAAAAAGGAAUUUUAAUGACAUUCCUACGUAUUUUCCCAAAUAACUGUUGUUCACUAAAGUACACAAACAUGCCACAAUCUUUUGACUAUAUCUCUUGUCCUUUGAUGACCAGGGUUCUCUAGGUUCUUUGCUGCUGGUACCUGGACCAGGAGAAGAAGGUCCCCUUCCAAAGAGAGGAGAUGGUGACAUGUUAUGGGGUUGAGUGUACCACAUGUGCAUUCUCAGGUUUCUUGAUCGACCUCUCCAGUGAACUACCCACAGCCUCUGAUUCACCAGAUCACAGUCAUCAAAAGUGCCGGUCGAUUGGCCAUGUGGACAGAAAGAUGCAGUAGAGAGAUCAUGAGAUUUGGAACCAGGAAAAUGCCUGGGUUCUAGUCUAGACUCUGCUAUUCCUGGCAUUGUGACUCACAGCAAUUUUCUUCAUCUCUCUGAUCCAAGUUUCCUGUAAAUAUCUUCUAAAGUGGUGACAUAAAUGGUAAGGAUUGUUAUAUGGAUCGAGUGAGCUAGAUCAUUUGGUAGAUGUUUUUACUUUAAUGUUCCAUACAAGUAGUUAUUAUUGUUAUUUUUAUUGAGAAUAAGGGUCUAGGGCAGUAUUUUAUUGCACUUAUUCAUUAUCAUUGUGGAAAGUCAUGCUUCUAUGGAGUGACAAUUAUGGAAGAAACUUUUCCAUUAGUAUUAUUUUGAGAUGUUAGUGACUCUAACUAGGAAUUACUGUAUGUGUGAAUGUGUUAUUUUCUAUUAGUGAUCUAGUUAGAUCUCUCUCUUAUUGACUGAAAUGCUGGCUCAUCUUUCAGACUUUUUACCUAGCGGGAAUUAACAUCCGAAUGACCAUAUUUUAAAAUGAUACCGAGGGAAAGAGAAACAAUUAUGUUAUACCUGAUAAUAAUGGGCACAAAAGCACACUUAAAACUUUGUUCUCAUGGUGUGAAUUGCUGAAUUUUCAUAAUAGAUUUUAUUUUUUUAAAGAUUUUAUUUAUUUAUUCAUGAGAGAUACACACACACACACACACACACACACACACACAGGCAGAGACACAGGCCGAGGGAGAAGCAGGCUCCAUGCAGGGAGCCUGAUGUGGGACUCGAUCCCAGGUCUCCAGGAGCAGACCCUGGGCUGAAGGUGGCGCUAAACCGCUGAGCCACUCGGGCUGCCCCUGAUAAUAGAUUUUAGACAAAAAUUAGAGACCUCUUUUCAGUUGAUACUACAGGAUUCUCUCUGAAGAGGAAAGAAUUUCUAUUUAAUCAAAAAUUUUAAAUGUUUGAAGAUGCCAAAACAAACCACUCGUGUUUUAUACUUUCCAUGUAUUUUUCUCUUGAAGAAAGCAGAAUGACACACACACACACAAAUCACUACAUAUGUCCCAAAGAAGGCCAAGUCAGAGGGUGAGGAAGCUAAAGGCAGAGGGAUUUUUUCUGGCUGGGGGAUCAGCACCCUCCCGUUAUUUUCAGGCUACAUGCUGAUCCACAUUAAGCUGGUAUGUCUGAGUAUCAUAAGGAGCCUGAAAAGGACUUUGUGAGCCCAAUUUAUUGACCUUCACAAAGGAUUAUAUUUAAACCAUCUCAGACAGAUGAGAAUCUAUCCUCCAUCGGGUGAAGAAAUCCUUCCCUUGAAGGAGAUUCUGUAACCUUCCUGAUUAACUCAUUUCGGUAUUUACUAUCCUUUGCUUGCUGCAGAGAAACCUAUUUCAACUGCCAUAGGAACAUUAGGAUUUGUCUGCUCUGGACUUGCUGAACACAAACUGACAUCUUUAUGUAGCUGAGCAUCAUCAUAUCUCCAGGGCCCCCAUGUCACUGCUUGAUUACACAAUUAAACAAUUCUGGGAGUCAAGAUGUAGUUAUAGGUAAGAGCACCAAGAGUCAGGCAAUUCUGGAUUAGAGUCUUGGCUCUUUCACUUUCUUAUUUCUAUGAUCUUGGGCAAAGGUACUUAAAAUUUCUGAGCCUCAAUUUUUUUACCUAUAUGGUGAAGGUAAUAAACAGCUCUUAGGGGUAUUGUGAAACUGAAAU